UGGAGCAACAAGGGCGCUAUAGGCAUUGGCGGAAAGGGUGGUCAAAAAAGAGUUUAAAAUGUCAAUUUUGACAGUGUUUGUCGGAGCCUACAGAGAAGCUGCUCUCUUCUGCUCAAGGAAAGCGACACAGAUGGCAGCACUGGCCCCAAAGCAAAUAAAAAAAAUCCUGAGAUGGAAAGAGCAGCUGGCAGAGAUAGUUUUGGUCAACUCUGAAUAUGUUCCCAAAAGAGAGGCACUAUCAACAAUGGAGCUCUCAACAUGUUUGAUUCAAGCAUAGUUUAAAUGCUGUUAAAACAUGA